CACCAUCUUCACCAGCGUUUACAAUAUCCACAAAUGAUAUAUUUUGGGAAUAUAUACAAUCAGAUGCAAAAGCAGUUCUCUCCUUUUUGCUAAGUCCUUAUCUGAGCAAGCUUAAGCUGGAACCCAACCGUCACAACGAUCUGAUGAUCUUCCGUGUGAGAAUUUUUGAAACAUCUCCAAGGCUUGAGUAAGGAAGAUGAGAUUCCUUCAGGACACACUCAGCUACCAUGAUCCCUGAGAAAGAAGGAUUAGAGAACUGGCUGGCCUUUAUGAAGUGGCCUGUGUAGUCCAUGCACUGACCUGGAGACUUAGAACUUCAUUUUGGUCUACCACAGAGUUUUCCUAUUUGUUACGCAUUACUUGAGAAGGCCGUCAGGAUACCGGCAGCCUAUGAGCCCACCUCUAGCACUUCAGACAUCUCAGGAGCUCCAGAAACAUCUUGCUUAAUUAAAGGGCUUCGCUGGAUUGUGUUCUGCAUUGUCAGAAAGCCCCACCGCUGGCUGCUAUUUCCUGUGUCAAGCUUCCUCUCAUCCCUCAGGACAAGGUAGUUUCCAGUCAUCUUUUAAAGCCUAUGGCAAUGUCCUGCACAAAUUAGACUCUUCUUGAAUGCGGUUUGGUUUCUGCCUCUACCUAAGGACCCGAGUUAGGACAAGACUAUCCAGUACCAGUUCUCUGGGAAAAAAAAAAAAAAUGUUGGGAAACCGUCUUGGUCCAUGCUAAUGCUUGGCUCUCUCUCUUGGCUGUACUUAUUUGGUGUCAGGUUGAAAGAUUACCUUGGGUAGUCACAUAUAAUCAAGGUCUCCCAGUGCUUUGCUUACACUUGCGUUUUGUUUUAGGUUUGUUUAUCCUGUCUCUCUCCACCUCCCCGGAGAUCC
rnacentral:lncRNA from 12 species